rnacentral:rRNA from 1 species
UGCAUUAUCAAUAAGCGGAGGAAAAGAAACCAACAGGGAUUGCCUCAGUAGCGGCGAGUGAAGCGGCAAGAGCUCAGAUUUGAAAUCGCCUCGGCGAGUUGUAAAUUGCAGGUUGGAGUCUUUGUGGCGGCGUGUGUCUAAGUCCCUUGGAACAGGGCGCCAUUGAGGGUGAGAGCCCCGUGCGGCACGCGUCUAAGCUUUAAGACCCUUCUGACGAGUCGAGUUGUUUGGGAAUGCAGCUCUAAGUGGGUGGUAAAUUCCAUCUAAGGCUAAAUACUGGCGAGAGACCGAUAGCGAACAAGUACUGUGAAGGAAAGAUGAAAAGCACUUUGAAAAGAGAGUGAAACAGCACGUGAAAUUGUUGAAAGGGAAGGGUAUUGGGCUCGACAUGGGGACUGCGCACCGUUGCUUCUUGUAGGCGGCGCUCUGUGCGGUUUCUGGGCCAGCAUCAGUUUUUGCCGCGGGAGAAUGGGGGGAGGAACGUGGCUCUUCGGAGUGUUAUAGCCUCUCUCAGAUGCCGCGAGCGGGGACUGAGGUCUGCGAUUCGUACAAGGAUGCUGGCACAACGGCGCAAUACCGCCCGUCUUGACCACCGGACCA